rnacentral:rRNA from 1 species
GAUGAACGCUAGCGGCAGGCUUAAUACAUGCAAGUCGAGGGGCAGCAGGUUUGUAGCAAUACAGAUGCUGGCGACCGGCAAACGGGUGCGGAACACGUACACAACCUUCCUUUAAGUGGGGAAUAGCCCAGAGAAAUUUGGAUUAAUACCCCGUAACAUUAUGAUGUGGCAUCACAUUAUAAUUAUAGCUCCGGCGCUUAAUGAUGGGUGUGCGGCUGANAGGUAGGUUGGCGGGGGUAACGGCCCACCAAGCCUGCGAUCAGUAACUGGUGUGAGAGCACGACCAGUCACACGGGCACUGAGACACGGGCCCGACUCCUACGGGAGGCAGCAGUGGGGAAUCUUGCGCUAAUGCGCGAAAGCGUGACGCAGCGACGCCGCGGUGGGGGA